rnacentral:rRNA from 1 species
UACGUAGGGGGCAAGCGUUGUCCGGAUUUAUUGGGCGUAAAGAGCGUGUAGGCGGCUUGGUAGGUCUGCUGUGAAAACUCGGGGCUCAACCCCGAGACGUCGGUGGAAACCACCUGGCUAGAGUCCGGAAGAGGAGAGUGGAAUUCCUGGUGUAGCGGUGAAAUGCGCAGAUAUUCGGAAGAACACCAGUGGCGAAGGCGGCUCACUGGACUGGUAUUGACGCUGAGGUGCGAAAGCGUGGGGAGCAAACAGG